rnacentral:misc_RNA from 1 species
GAUGAAGAACGUAGCGAAAUGCGAUAAGUAAUGUGAAUUGCAGAAUUCAGUGAAUCAUCGAAUCUUUGAACGCACCUUGCGCCCUUUGGCCAUUCCGAAGGGCAUGCCUGUUUGAGUAUCAUGAACACCUCAACUCUUCAUGGUUUUCCAUGAUGAGCUUGGAUUUGGGGGUCUUGCUGGCCUGUGGUCGGCUCCUCUCAAAUGGAUCAGCUUGCCAGUGUUUGGUGGCAUCACAGGUGUGAUAACUAUCUGCGCUUGUGGUUUUCCAUCAGAUAACCUUCAGUGAUGGAGGUUCGCUGGAGCUCAUAAACGUCUCCCCUAAGCGGGGACAGCCCUUUGAAUGUUUGAUCUCAAAUCAGGUAGGACUACCCGCUGAACUUAAGCAUAUCAAUAAGCGGAGGA